UAGAAAGUGUGCUCUGUAAUGGGAUGGGAUCCGAAGCCCUCCGAGGGAUAACAUAGGCUCUCCCAUCCAACUCCUAUU
rnacentral:ribozyme from 1 species